rnacentral:rRNA from 1 species
CUACGGGACGCUGCAGUGAGGAAUUUUGCGCAAUGGGGGAAACCCUGACGCAGCAACGCCGCGUGAGUGAAGAAGGCCCUUGGGUCGUAAAGCUCUGUCAAUGGGGAAGAAGUUACUUGGUAUUAAUAGUGCCUUGUAUUGACGGUACCCAUGAAGGAAGCACCGGCUAACUCCGUGCCAGCAGCCGCGGUAAUACGGGGGGUGCACGCGUUAUUCGGAAUUAUUGGGCGUAAAGGGCACGCAGGCGGUCCUGUCAGUCAGAUGUGAAAGCCCGGGGCUCAACCCCGGACGUGCAUUUGAAACAGCAGGACUUGAGUACGGGAGAGGAAAGGGGAAUUCCUGAUGUAGAGGUGAAAUUCGUAGAUAUCAGGAGGAACACCGGUGGCGAAGGCGCCUUUCUGGACCGAUACUGACGCUGAGGUGCGAAGGCGUGGGUAGCGAACGGGAUUAGAUACCCGCGUAGUC